CAGCAGCGCGGUAAUACGUAGGGGGCGAGCGUUGUCCGGAAUCAUUGGGCGUAAAGCGCGCGUAGGCGGUUAUUUAAGUCAGACGUGAAAAACCUGGGCUUAACCCAGGUCUUGCGUUUGAAACUGGAUAGCUUGAGGGCAGGAGAGGAUAGUGGAAUUCCUAGUGUAGCGGUGAAAUGCGUAGAUAUUAGGAGGAACACCAGUGGCGAAGGCGACUAUCUGGCCUGUACCUGACGCUGAGGUGCGAAAGCUGGGGGAGCGAACGGGAUUAGAUACCCCGGUAGUCCCAGCCGUAAACGAUGGGCACUAGGUGUAGGAGGUAUCGACCCCUUCUGUGCCGUAGCUAACGCAAUAAGUGCCCCGCCUGGGGAGUACGGUCGCAAGACUGAAACUCAAAGGAAUUGACGGGGGCCCGCACAAGCGGUGGAGCAUGUGGUUUAAUUCGACGCAACGCGAAGAACCUUACCAGGGCUUGACAUCCCUUGCUAUCCUUGGAAACAAGGAGUUCCCUUCGGGGACAAGGAGACAGGAGGUGCAUGGCC
rnacentral:rRNA from 1 species